ACAUGCAGUCGAACGAGAGAAGAGAAGCUUGCUUUUCUGAUCUAGUGGCGGACGGGUGAGUAACACGUGAGCAAUCUGCCUUUCAGAGGGGGAUACCGAUUGGAAACGAUCGUUAAUACCGCAUAAUAUAAUUGAACCGCAUGAUUUGAUUAUCAAAGAUUUAUCGCUGAAAGAUGAGCUCGCGUCUGAUUAGCUAGUUGGUAAGGUAACGGCUUACCAAGGCGACGAUCAGUAGCCGGACUGAGAGGUUGAUCGGCCACAUUGGGACUGAGACACGGCCCAGACUCCUACGGGAGGCAGCAGUGGGGAAUAUUGCACAAUGGAGGAAACUCUGAUGCAGCGAUGCCGCGUAAGGGAAGAAGGUUUUAGGAUUGUAAACCUCUGUCUUCAGGGACGAAAAAUGACGGUACCUGAGGAGGAAGCUCCGGCUAACUACGUGCCAGCAGCCGCGGUAAUACGUAGGGAGCGAGCGUUGUCCGGAAUUACUGGGUGUAAAGGGAGCGUAGGCGGGAUCGCAAGUCAGAUGUGAAAACUAUGGGCUUAACCCAUAAACUGCAUUUGAAACUGUGGUUCUUGAGUGAAGUAGAGGUAAGCGGAAUUCCUAGUGUAGCGGUGAAAUGCGUAGAUAUUAGGAGGAACAUCAGUGGCGAAGGCGGCUUACUGGGCUUUAACUGACGCUGAGGCUCGAAAGCGUGGGGAGCAAACAGGAUUAGAUACCCUGGUAGUCCACGCCGUAAACGAUGAUUACUAGGUGUGGGGGGACUGACCCCUUCCGUGCCGCAGCAAACGCAAUAAGUAAUCCACCUGGGGAGUACGACCGCAAGGUUGAAACUCAAAGGAAUUGACGGGGGCCCGCA
rnacentral:rRNA from 1 species